AUGCACAUAACAUGUUCUGCAGGAUUGCUAUGGUAUCUUGCUUCCUGCAGCAUCAACCAUGUACCUAUGUGACAUAUCGGCCUAUGUAUUUCACAUAGCUCGGGGGGAGGGGCAAAGAAUCAGAGCUGUCUUCCAGCACGUAGACAAAAAGAAUGCAUCACACAGACUGUGUAAACUGUGAGUGUCGGCCAGAGAGGGCAGAAAUCACCUGACCCCCAGGAGGGGAUGAUGUUUGGAGGAGAAAUACAACACUCUGUUGUCUUUCUACAAUAGACUAACACGGCUAGCCCUUUGGAAUUUGGAGGAGAAAUAGUCACACUUGGAACUGUAAAAGGCUUUUGGCCAGAGAAACUCCAUCCUGAAACUUACUUCUCCAUCUAAAAGGAAGAAUUUAACCUAUCCACAACGGCUGGGCAGACCAAGCUGCAAGACCACCAGCAGCCACCCAUGUGGACUGAGAACCCUACAACUCAAGUUUCUUCCUGUUUCAAAUCCUUACCAUCAUCCACCACCACCAUCAAGGUCCACAGGUAAAAUAGGCACUUUGUCUUGCUCUGCAAGAGGGCUCUCCGUGACUUUCUGUUCUCUCCAGUGUGUUACUGUUCAGUCUGUGAAAUGUACGUAGUUGGUCAAAAGUCCUUCUUAUAAUCUAAACAAAGAAC
rnacentral:lncRNA from 1 species